CACAGCCUGUGCGAGGGAAAGGGUUUGCAUGCGGAGAGAAAGAGUAAGGGAAACAGAGUCAUUGGUUUGAGUCAGGUGGGAAUUUGAGCCAAUAGUUGGUUGCUGGUGGAGGGUGGUGGAGGGGUCCAUGCAGUGACCGGGUUGUUUUCCUUCCCCUGCUCUGCCUGGUUAAGCGCCAAUCCAUUCCAGAUGUCCAGACUGGGGACUCACCACUGCAGGAGCCUCGAGCCCCCACGGCGGCCGCACAGGAAGGACUCAGGGCAACAAAGUACAGAGAAGAGUCUAGAAGCUGAUUCUGUUUCCCAGGGCAUCAGAAGUCAGCACUUGUGGAUUAGAGAUGAAUAACGUACGCUGAAGCUGUGCAGCUAAAGGCUGCACCAACGGUCCUCCGCCAGACGGCCAGCAGGUGUUACCGAGCCCCGGAAUACAACAGCCAGACGAGUACUGUUUCUAUCCUCCAGUUGCUGU